UCAUAAGGCACUCCAGUACCUGCUCAUCCUUUAGCUGACUGUCCAAGUUUAGUACAGGGCCACUCAUCCUUCUCUACAGACAUGCAGUGGUCCAUGCUGAAUUUAGUUUGCCAGAAAAUACUCAGUUUGGAGAAAGUGGGGUGCUUUAAGAUUUGUGUAUCUGUAAGCUAGCAGGAAUAUCACCAGUAUUCUUGAAUUCCGACCAAACAAUGCUUGACCAGUUGAUACAAAGACAGUGUAAAUCUCGUAUCUGAGACACUAGCAAAACAAUUCUGAAAGAGAAGCAACAUCAUUCCCUUCUUGUGCUGGACCCUCUGCAUGGGUCUCCUUAGUGUUCUUAGCUAUUCUGAUGGAACAUCCUGAGGAUCACAAGUACAUACCACUUUGCCUGGCUUUUCUACAUGGUGUCUGGGGAUUGAACUCCGGUCCUUAUGCAUGCACAGCAAGUACUUGACCCACUGAGCUACAUCUCCUAUCCUCUCCAUUUUGAGUUUUUUGUUUAUUUGUUUUGAGACACAGCCACACACUAUAGCCGAGGCAAUUCUCCUGCCUCAGCCUCUGAAAUGCUGGAAUUACAGGGAUGAGUCACUAUAACUAGCCUCUGUAAAUAACUGCAUGCACAAAAAAGUCUUGUCUAUACAAAUGCCAACGAAGGAAAAAUUAGUCACAAAAGAAAACUUCAUUUUCUCCAAUAAAGUCUUGUGGGUAGCUGUUCCAGCUCUGACCUUGAAACACAGCCCCAGUGAGGCAGCUGGUAACGGCCACGCCUACCUAGGAUCUGCCCCUAGGGCAUGGCUGGAACAGGAGCCCUUAAGACAGGAGAUCCAGACAUGCUGGCCUUCUUGGUUCCUUGUGAUCCUGGAUGCUGGAUGGCCAACAGAGUCAGAGUUCUCCAGAGAACCCUGCUGGACUGCAACUCACCUCUCCCGGAUCCUGUAACUAACCCCUUUACUGGCUGUAAGUUACCCCUAAAUAAACCUUUUAACUACAUGGAGUUGUCUUGUUAAAUCCCCACAUUAAGAGUCUUACUUGGUAUAUAAACUAUACUUAAGGGCAAGGCCCCAUGCCCGCAGUAGAUAGCCAAUACAAAAUGAACUCAAUGGUAUGUUUGGAGAGUUUUGUCUCAUGAUGCUUUGCUGGGCAUUUUUUCAAUCAUAAAGGUCUUUUGCUUAUAUAUUAUGCUUUCCAAUUUUGUGUUUUUAUGGGACUUCAGUGUGUACAACUGUGUGUAUCUCUGUGUCUGUAUGCAUUUCUUGUGCUUUUUCUUUUGUUUGCUUUUGUCCUAGUCGGUCUCUAUCUCUGUCUCUCUCUCUGUGCAUGUGUGUUUGUCUGUGUGUUUAGUUGCCUGUUUGUUUUCUAAUGAGAGAAAGAAAGAAUGUGGAUUUGGAUGUGUAGGGAGGUAGGGAUGAUCUGAGAAGAGCUGUGAGAGGAAAAAUCA